UGCCCACAGUAUUUGAUUUAAUAAAUUCUUUUUCUUUCUGAGACUCUAACCAGCUUCCAAGCCAAGGAUGCUCCAGAAGUAUGACAGACUGUGGCCCUCCAGGCUCUUCUGUCCAUGGGAUUUUCCAGCCUCUCCAUGCUGCUCUCAACUUGUUCUCCAUGUUAACAGAGCAACUGUGAACACUGUGAUCAAGUACUCAGACAAGUCAUGAGAGGAGAGUCAAAAUUCAAGCAAGGAUCAUUUAAUAUCAGUAGUAGAAGAAAUAUUUGAAAAAGAGUGGAGAUUCCAUCCGGUCUAAAGAUCUUCACAGUGAAAUGAAAAAAUACUAUGUAUCUUAAGAUCCACAUAGACAAUCUAAUGAAAAUUUUG
ensembl:lncRNA